rnacentral:rRNA from 1 species
CCUACGGGAGGCAGCAGUGAGGAAUAUUGGACAAUGGAGGCAACUCUGAUCCAGCCAUGCCGCGUGCAGGAAGAAUGCCCUAUGGGUUGUAAACUGCUUUUAUUUAGGAAGAAACCCCCCAACGUGUUGGGGGCUGACGGUACUAAACGAAUAAGGACCGACUAACUCCGUGCCAGCAGCCGCGGUAAU